rnacentral:rRNA from 1 species
UGCGUAGGCGGUUUAUUAAGUCAGAUGUGAAAGCCCCGGGCUUAACCUGGGAACUGCAUUUGAUACUGGUAGACUAGAGUAUGGUAGAGGGGGGUAGAAUUCCUAGUGUAGCGGUGAAAUGCGUAGAUAUUAGGAGGAAUACCAGUGGCGAAGGCGGCCCCCCGGACCAAUACUGACGCUGAGGUACGAAAGCGUGGGUAGCGAACA